rnacentral:rRNA from 1 species
AGUGGCGGACGGGUGAGUAACGCGUGAGAAUCUGCCUUGGGGUCGGGGACAACCACUGGAAACGGUGGCUAAUACCGGAUAAGCCGAUUGGUGAAAGAUUUAUUGCCCGAAGAGGAGCUCGCGUCUGAUUAGCUAGUUGGUGAGGUAAGAGCUCACCAAGGCAGCGAUUAGUAGCUGGUCUGAGAGGACGAUCAGCCACACUGGGACUGAGACACGGCCCAGACUCCUACGGGAGGCAGCAGUGGGGAAUUUUCCGCAAUGGGCGAAAGCCUGACGGAGCAAGACCGCUGAGGGAGGAAGGCUCUUGGGUUGUAAACCUCUUUUCUCAGGGAAGAAGCUCUGACGGUACCUGAGGAAUCAGCCUCGGCUAACUCCGUGCCAGCAGCCGCGGUAAUACGGAGGAGGCAAGCGUUAUCCGGAAUUAUUGGGCGUAAAGCGUCCGCAGGUGGCGAUUCAAGUCUGCUGUCAAAGCACGGGGCUUAACUCCGUAAAGGCAGUGGAAACUGAAUAGCUAGAGUGCCGUAGGGGUAGAGGGAAUUCCCGGUGUAGCGGUGAAAUGCGUAGAGAUCGGGAAGAACAUCGGUGGCGAAAGCGCUCUACUGGACGGCAACUGACACUCAGGGACGAAAGCUAGGGGAGCGAAUGGGAUUAGAUACCCC